GACGAACGCUGGCGGCGUGCUUAACACAUGCAAGUCGAACGAUCAAGAAAAGAAUUGAAGCUUCGGCAGAAAUUCAUUUCGGAUUAGUGGCAGACGGGUGAGUAACGCGUGAGCAACCUACCUCUUACAAAGGGAUAGCCUCGGGAAACCGGGAUUAAUACCAUAUAACAUUGCGACGAAGCAUUUCGAUGCAAUCAAAGCUACGGCGGUAAGAGAUGGGCUCGCGUCCCAUUAACCAGAUGGUGAGGUAACGGCUCACCAUAGUAACGAUGGGUAACCGGCCUGAGAGGGUGAACGGUCACACUGGAACUGAGACACGGUCCAGACUCCUACGGGAGGCAGCAGUGGGGAAUAUUGCACAAUGGAGGGAACUCUGAUGCAGCGACGCCGCGUGAGUGAUGAAGGAAUUCGUUUCGUAAAACUCUGUUCUAUGGGAAGAAAAGGACUGUACCAUAGGAGAAAGCUCCGGCUAAAUACGUG
rnacentral:rRNA from 1 species